CAUUUAUGAGAGGGUCAAAUAUAAAAAAAAUUUUUUAAAAUUUAUUAUCAAAUUUUUAAAUUUCAAGAACAAAUUAUAAUUUAAAAAUAAUUAUGUUAUUCAUACAUCUUUUCAUAGUGUUAUUUCUGUAUUCCUUCAAUUUAAUGGUCUUUCAAGAUUUUGAUCCCUUAGUUGAUUGUCCAUGUUAUGACAGAACUCCUAGAUGCACGAUCGCUGCACCCAAAAAUUGUUCAGCAGGACUAGUUGAUGACAGAUGUUUAUGUUGUAAAAUUUGUGGAAAGAAACUAAAUCAGACGUGUGAAGGGCGAAGUAAUUGGCAAGGAACAUGUGGAAAAGGUUUGUACUGCCUCCAUAGUGAUGAUGACAGCUUGUUGAAUUACCCGGGAAUAUGUGUCAAAGUCAAAUCUGGCUAAAUUGCGCGGUAUGAUGUUGUCAAAGUCAAAUACACUUUGCCUCAUUUAUGAAUAACACAUUGUAUAAUUUAUUUAAAAUUCAUGAUAAUAAAUAUAUAUUUUUUUAGAAAUAAUUAUCGUAGUUUAUUUGAUAAGCACUGUUUAUUUU